ACGGGAAUGUCGGCUUCGGCUGACUAGUACCGUGGCGAACGGGUGAGUAACACGUGGGUAAUCUGACCUCGAGUUUGGGAUAACCUUGCGAAAGCGGGGCUAAUACCGAAUAAGACCACGCUCAGCUCGCUGAGUGCGGUAAAAGGUGGCCUCUCCUUGAAAGCUAUCACUUGAGGAUGAGCCCGCGGCCUAUUAGCUAGUUGGUGGGGUAAUGGCCUACCAAGGCGACGAUGGGUAGCCGGCCUGAGAGGGUGUACGGCCACACUGGCACUGAGAUACGGGCCAGACUCCUACGGGAGGCAGCAGUGGGGAAUUUUGCGCAAUGGGGGAAACCCUGACGCAGCAACGCCGCGUGAGUGAUGAAGGCCUUCGGGUCGUAAAGCUCUUUUAGUGGGGAAGAAUCCCUUCCGGGCUAAUACCUCGGGAGGAUGACGGUACCCACAGAAAAAGUUCCGGCUAACUACGUGCCAGCAGCCGCGGUAAUACGUAGGGAGCAAGCGUUGUUCGGAAUUAUUGGGCGUAAAGAGCGCGUAGGCGGUUCGGUAAGUCUGACGUGAAAUCCCAGAGCUUAACUCUGGAACUGCGUUGGAUACUGCCGAGCUUGAGUGUGGGAGAGGAGAGUGGAAUUCCCAGUGUAGAGGUGAAAUUCGUAGAUAUUGGGAGGAACACCCGUGGCGAAGGCGGCUCUCCGGACCACAACUGACGCUGAGGCGCGAAAGCUAGGGUAGCAAACGG
rnacentral:rRNA from 1 species